UGGGGAAUAUUGCACAAUGGGCGCAAGCCUGAUGCAGCCAUGCCGCGUGUAUGAAGAAGGCCUUCGGGUUGUAAAGUACUUUCAGCGGGGAGGAAGGCAGUCGUGUUAAUAGCACGGUUUGAUUGACGUUACCCGCAGAA
rnacentral:rRNA from 1 species